rnacentral:tRNA from 1 species
GGGUCGGUGGUGUAAUCGGUAACACGCCGGUCUCCAAAACCGGAUGAUGGGGGUUCGACUCCUUCCCGGCCCGCCA